CAGCCCGGGAGGCGCUGCGCUGACUCUGGGAGAAGGUUCGAGCGGAACGGGCCGUGCUGAGAGCGGAGGCCCCACCGGCGUCGGACUCAGAGCUGCAGAGAAAGUUCCAGCUUCUCCCGGCUUGUUCUAAGGGCUAGCAGUUGGGGCAGAAGAAUGUCGCAUUCCUGAGAAGAGCUGGAAUCUGACGCUGUGGCUUGGACACCCAGGGGAGACCCAGCCUCGGAGGGAACACAGCACAGGGGGAAGAAGGAUGCAGAUGAACUGUAGUGAGAAUGACCCUGUCAUUGAGUCUCCUCCCUGGGCUCGUGUCUCCGAGGAGCAUCACCCCAAGGGGCCUGUUGAAAAGCCAUCAUGUGCGGUUUUUCUCUGAGGCCUGGACAGUUUCCAGCUGGAGCCCAGGAUGCAAGUGGGGAGUAAAUUCCUGGAGGCUGCAGUGCAUCCUGUGCCUUGAGGCUAGGGGAGAUGCAUUCACCGGUCUGUAAAGCCACAUUUUUUCCCAUCAGCCCUAUGGCCUUACAAAUUGAGUCUUUGCCAUGUCUCACUUUCUUUAAUUCAGAAUAUCCCAUUUUGAAUUUUUUGGUGUUUCUUUUGGGUGUGGACUUCCAAAAAGCCCAAAGGAGGAGACUCUUCUGGAAACACGAGGUUGGAAAUGGAAGAAAGAGAAGCAAAUGUUCUCUGUAACCUCCCCAUGAAGGAAGAAACUCUAGUUUCCUGCAUGACAGAUGGGGAUAGUCACCACCAGACUAAGAGCAUAGUACCCAGGGAAACAUGGUACAUUCUAACGUUAAACUUCAGUAGCUUCAAAUUUAAUUAUUCACUUGAUACAAAGGAAACUACUAAUUUUUAAAAAGAAGAAGUAAAAACCUUUGCUCCUUUAAUUGGUCUUUUCUCCUUAUAUGGCUCAGAACCCUUUGGAGUGCUUCAGUGCCUUUGAAGAGGGCAGAGGAAGUCAGGAUGCAGAUGUCAGUCCCACUUCUGUACUGGGUUUCUGGGCCAACCCUUUCCCAGUGUGGUGAUGAGAAAGAGCUGGCAAAGUUUGCUGCUAGUAUGCUCAGCUGUCACUGGGAAGGUGAUCAGUCCAUGAAAUAAAAGAAUGUUUGAAGAAAUGUGCAAUGAGCUACUUUUGCAGUAAAAAAUCAAACCAUCCUCAAAAACAAGGAACCUAUUUUAUAACCCAAGAGGGAGAGAAGCUGUCAGCUUUGAAUUCAUUCUCUCUCAGUGUUUAGGCUGGCCAGGCCUGUGUGUCAAAGUCAGGAUAUUUUAGGUAAGGCCCUGCAGAAAAAGGUGCUCACUUGAGAAAGAAAGAUGUGGCCUCGCUUGGGUCUGUGCCCUGUAGUUCAGGGACUACUUUGUCCAAGCUGCUCCAACUUUCUCUCCCAGUCCUCAGCAGCCUCAAAAGCCCUGCAUAUCUACCCCCAAGAGUUCCAAGUUCCAAGAGUUCUACAGCUUCUAAAAUAAGCUGUAGAACAAAAUAUACAGUACGAUCCAAUUACAGUAUGUACAGAUCUGUGAUAUCAACUACUUGUACAUCCUUGAGCAAAUCAUUUCAACCAUCUGGCCUUCAUUGCUUUCUCAGUUUUAAAAUGAGGAGAUUGCACUUCAUCUUUUCUAAGACUUUCUAGCUGUAGAAGUCUCUGAUUUUAUCCAGGAGCGAAAGAGGAUUCCUGUUUCCCCUAAACUAUGUACCUGCUCUAUACCUGAAUAAAUCAUGCUUCUGUUGAUAA